rnacentral:tRNA from 1 species
GUUUUUGUAGUUGAAUUACAACAGUGGUUUUUCGUAUCACAGGUCUUAGUUAAAAUCUGAGUAAAAACU